rfam:Schistosoma rodhaini strain Burundi genome assembly, scaffold: SROB_scaffold0009763
GCACCCCUGAAGAGUCCCAUAAUAGGACGAAACGGCCGUCCAGUGC